AAACAUGUCAGUGAGCAUCACGCUGUGAAGGUGCUGCAUGGUUGUCGUCAGCUCGUGCCGUGAGGUGUCGGCUUAAGUGCCAUAACGAGCGCAACCCUUAUCUUCAGUUACUAACAGGUCAUGCUGAGGACUCUGGAGAGACUGCCGUCGUAAGAUGUGAGGAAGGUGGGGAUGACGUCAAAUCAGCACGGCCCUUACGUCCGGGGCUACACACGUGUUACAAUGGGGGGUACAGAAGGCAGCUACCUGGUGACAGGAUGCUAAUCCCAAAAGCCUCUCUCAGUUCGGAUCGAAGUCUGCAACCCGACUUCGUGAAGCUGGAUUCGCUAGUAAUCGCGCAUCAGCCACGGCGCGGUGAAUACGUUCCCGGGUCUUGGUCA
rnacentral:rRNA from 1 species